rnacentral:rRNA from 1 species
UACGUAGGGGGCAAGCGUUGUCCGGAAUCAUUGGGCGUAAAGAGCGCGUAGGCGGCCCGGUAAGUCCGCUGUGAAAGUCAAAGGCUUAACCUUUGAAUGUCAGCGGAUACUGCCGGGCUAGAGUCCGGAAGAGGCGAGUGGAAUUCCUGGUGUAGCGGUGAAAUGCGCAGAUAUCAGGAGGAACACCAAUUGCGAAGGCAGCUCGCUGGGACGUUACUGACGCUGAGACGCGAAAGCGUGGGGAGCAAACAGG